CCUAUUAUUUUAUAAUGUAAAAAAUUAAAAUUAAAGUAGUAAUAGUUAUGGUCUUGAAACUUAAAAAAUUUGGCGGUAUUUUAGUCUAUUCAGAGGAACCUGUAAUGUAAUCGAUAUUCCACGAUGAAUCUUACUUAAUUUUAUUGUUUAAUUUGUAUAUCGCCGUUAUUUGAAAAUUUUAUAAGAAAAAUAAUUUUCUAAAAUUUUUAUUAAAAAAUAAAUCAGGUCAAGGUGCAGUUUAUAAUUAAGUUUUAUAUGGGUUACAAUAAAAUUAUUUAUACGAAUUAAAAAUUGAAAAAUUUUUAUAAAGGUGGAUUUGAUAGUAAAUUUUUAAAGAUAAAAAUAUUGAUUUUAGCUCUAAAAUAUGUACACA
rnacentral:rRNA from 1 species